rnacentral:rRNA from 1 species
AUUGAACGCUGGCGGCAGGCCUAACACAUGCAAGUCGAACGGUAACAGGAAAUAGCUUGCUGUUUCGCUGACGAGUGGCGGACGGGUGAGUAAUGUCUGGGAAACUGCCUGAUGGAGGGGGAUAACUACUGGAAACGGUAGCUAAUACCGCAUAACGUCGCAAGACCAAAGAGGGGGACCUUCGGGCCUCUUGCCAUCGGAUGUGCCCAGAUGGGAUUAGCUAGUAGGUGGGGUAACGGCUCACCUAGGCGACGAUCCCUUGCUGGUCUGAGAGGAUGACCAGCCACACUGGAACUGAGACACGGUCCAGACUCCUACGGGAGGCAGCAGUGGGGAAUAUUGCACAAUGGGCGCAAGCCUGAUGCAGCCAUGCCGCGUGUAUGAAGAAGGCCUUCGGGUUGUAAAGUACUUUCAGCGGGGAGGAAGGGAGUAAAGUUAAUACCUUUGCUCAUUGACGUUACCCGCAGAAGAAGCACCGGCUGACUCCGUGCCAGCCGCCGCAGUAA